GGGGAUAUAGCUCAGUUGGUAGAGCAUCGCUUUUGCAAAGCGAAUGUCAGCGGCUCAAAUCCGCUUAUCUCCA
rnacentral:tRNA from 1 species